CCCGGGAGGAAGGUGGGGAUGACGUCAAGUCCUCAUGGCCCUUAUAGGUGGGGCUACACACGUCAUACAAUGGCUGGUACAAAGGGUUGCCAACCCGCGAGGGGGAGCCAAUCCCAUAAAGCCAGUCGUAGUCCGGAUCGCAGUCUGCAACUCGACUGCGUGAAGUCGGAAUCGCUAGUAAUCGUGGAUCAGCAUGUCACGGUGAAUACGUUCCCGGGUCUU
rnacentral:rRNA from 1 species